UAAAUCAAGGGAUGCAGGUAUUACGAUA
rnacentral:piRNA from 1 species